rnacentral:rRNA from 1 species
AUUGAACGCUGGCGGCAGGCCUAACACAUGCAAGUCGAACGAGUGGCGGACGGGUGAGUAAUGUCUGGGAAACUGCCUGAUGGAGGGGGCUAACUACUGGAAACGGUCGCUAAUACCGCAUCCCAUCGGAUGUGCCCAGAUGGGAUUAGCUCGUAGGUGGGGUAAAGGCUCACCUAGGCGACGGUCCCUAGCUGGUCGGAGAGGAUGACCAGCAACACUGGAACGGAGACACGGUCCAGACUCCGACGGGAGGCAGCAGUGGGGAAUAUUGCUCAAUGGGCGCAAGCUUGAUGCAGCCAUGCCGCGUGUAUGAAGAAGGCCUUCGGGUUGUAAAGUACUUUCAGCGGGGAGGCGUUACCCGCAGAAGAAGCACCGGCUAACUCCGUGCCAGCAGCCGCGGUAAUUC